rnacentral:misc_RNA from 1 species
AACGCACAUUGCGCCCGCCAGUAUUCUGGCGGGCAUGCCUGUUCGAGCGUCAUUUCAACCAUCAAGCCCCCGGGCUUGUGUUGGGGACCUGCGGCUGCCCGCAGGCCCUGAAAAACAGUGGCGGGCUCGCUGUCACACCGAGCGUAGUAGCAUAACCUCGCUCAGGGCGUGCUGCGGGUUCCGGCCGUUAAAAGCCUUCUAACACCCAAGGUUGACCUCGGAUCAGGUAGGAAGACCCGCUGAACUUAA